GCCCCUGUAGCUCAAUUGGAUAGAGCGAAAGACUUCUAAUCUUUAGGUUGUGGGUUCGAGUCCCGCCGGGGGUACCA
rnacentral:tRNA from 2 species